UACGUAGGGGGCUAGCGUUGUCCGGAAUCAUUGGGCGUAAAGAGCGUGUAGGCGGCCCGGUAAGUCCGCUGUGAAAGUCGGGGGCUCAACCCUCGAAUGCCGGUGGAUACUGUCGGGCUAGAGUGCGGAAGAGGCGAGUGGAAUUCCUGGUGUAGCGGUGAAAUGCGCAGAUAUCAGGAGGAACACCAAUUGCGAAGGCAGCUCGCUGGGACGUAACUGACGCUGAGACGCGAAAGCGUGGGGAGCAAACAGGAUUAGAAACCCGUAGUC
rnacentral:rRNA from 1 species